AAGGUAUGUUAUCCACACUCUCACCACUCACCGAGACACAAGCGUAGGGAUAUGGAAGAUGUGAAACUGUUGCGUGCUCACCUGCUGUGCAUGAUGACAACAAAACCCGCAUGAAGAAUCUGGGAUUGGCCUGCCGCAAGUUCCUUUAGAAGCUCGAUUACAAUGAAUAACCACCACCGAAGAAAUCCGAGGUGAGAAUGCUGCGUGUUGUUAACCGGGAUCCUACACCGUCAUCAGCAGCCGGGAGCUGGGUUAGCACUAGGUGUACAUACUACCUGGAUGACGAAACAACAUAUCCAAGAGCUGAUUGUUACGCUCAAAAGAACAGGGCAGGACACCCACGCACCAGAAUUUUUCAAGUGUGGAAAACACUUCCGGCUGCAACAAAGAUGAAACCGGAAUGGACUUAUGAAAUAGAAAAAAACGCGAUUUCCGGUACUCUGCCAAAAACAGCAGCAACGCUGUGAAUGAACAUGUAUUUAUAAACUGUCCAAUCGGUGCAAUACCUGACGGACCAGGGUGAUCAGCCACCCUCAGCAUAGCAAAAUAAAAAUACCCUUUCCUGGAGGGCGCUCGCCAGCGAGAGCGAUUUAAUUUUAGCUGACGGACCUGACGUGACUCGAAAGAAACUUCCUCGGCGAGUUCUGGAAGUUUCAUCGUCUAGCCUCAAGAGACGUUCACAUACAAGCAACGGUUUGGAGUUCCUAAUUUUUUUCUUGACGACGGCAGAGCCAGAAUUGUUUACUAGCUCGUGAAUCAGCAGUAAAAACUGUCGUCUAUGUUUGACGCUUGGUUAGACAGUUCUAUUGGGUCACAGAGCUACGACCAACCGUGCGAAAAUCACGCAAACCAUCACUACAAUGAAAAUUGCGUGAAGAAAAAAAAAAGAACUAAAAGUAAAAAAAAAAAAAAAAACAGCAUCCGGGUCAAAUCCACACAUAAAGCACGAUAUAACAGUCGUGUAUAAAGGUUAAAGGCUCAAAAGUAGAACUGUAUUCUUUCCACCGAUGAAAAGAAUAAAAAAAAAAACAAACACGGUCAAUGGACGGGUAAAUCGAAAAUGGAACAUAAAAACAUACAUCGGAUUGGAUUAAUGGCAUUAAAGGCCUCCUGGUAAUGCACCAUACAAAGGCACACAAGGACGAAAACA